UACGUAGGUGGCAAGCGUUGUCCGGAUUUACUGGGCGUAAAGAGCGCGCAGGCGGUCGUUCAAGUCGCGUGUGAAAGCCCCCGGCUCAACUGGGGAGGGUCACGCGAUACUGAUCGACUCGAAGGCAGGAGAGGGAAGUGGAAUUCCCGGUGUAGUGGUGAAAUGCGUAGAUAUCGGGAGGAACACCGAUGGCGAAGGCAAUCUCCUGGGCCUGCACUGACGCUCAUGCACGAAAGCGUGGGGAGCAAACAGG
rnacentral:rRNA from 1 species